GAAGGUGUGCUGUGAGGCAUGCUGGAGGUAUCAGAAGUGCGAAUGCUGACAUAAGUAACGAUAAAGCGGGUGAAAAGCCCGCUCGCCGGAAGACCAAGGGUUCCUGUCCAACGUUAAUCGGGGCAGGGUGAGUCGACCCCUAAGGCGAGGCCGAAAGGCGUAGUCGAUGGGAAACGGGUUAAUAUUCCCGUACUGGGUGUUACUGCGAAGGGGGGACGGAGAAGGCUAUGUUAGCCGGGCGACGGUUGUCCCGGUUUAAGCGUGCAGGCUUGAGUUCCAGGCAAAUCCGGAACUCUUUAAGGCUGAGGCGUGAUGACGAGGCACCACGGUGCUGAAGUAACAAAUGCCCUGCUUCCAGGAAAAGCCUCUAAGCAUCAGGUAACAUCCAAUCGUACCCCAAACCGACACAGGUGGUCAGGUAGAGAAUACCAAGGCGCUUGAGAGAACUCGGGUGAAGGAACUAGGCAAAAUGGUGCCGUAACUUCGGGAGAAGGCACGCUGGCGCGUAGGUGAAGCGACUUGCUCGUGGAGCUGAAGCCAGUCGAAGAUACCAGCUGGCUGCAACUGUUUAUUAAAAACACAGCACUGUGCAAACACGAAAGUGGACGUAUACGGUGUGACGCCUGCCCGGUGCCGGAAGGUUAAUUGAUGGGGUUAUCCGCAAGGAGAAGCUCUUGAUCGAAGCCCCGGUAAACGGCGGCCGUAACUAUAACGGUCCUAAGGUAGCGAAAUUCCUUGUCGGGUAAGUUCCGACCUGCACGAAUGGCGUAAUGAUGGCCAGGCUGUCUCCACCCGAGACUCAGUGAAAUUGAACUCGCUGUGAAGAUGCAGUGUACCCGCGGCAAGACGGAAAGACCCCGUGAACCUUUACUACAGCUUGACACUGAACAUUGAGCCUUGAUGUGUAGGAUAGGUGGGAGGCUUUGAAGCGUGGACGCCAGUCUGCGUGGAGCCAACCUUGAAAUACCACCCUUUAACGUUUGAUGUUCUAACCUGGCGCCGUUACCCGGCGUGGGGACAGUGUCUGGUGGGUAGUUUGACUGGGGCGGUCUCCUCCCAAAGAGUAACGGAGGAGCACGAAGGUCAGCUAAUCACGGUCGGACAUCGUGAGGUUAGUGCAAUGGCAUAAGCUGGCUUGACUGCGAGAGUGACGGCUCAAGCAGGUGCGAAAGCAGGUCAUAGUGAUCCGGUGGUUCUGAAUGGAAGGGCCAUCGCUCAACGGAUAAAAGGUACUCCGGGGAUAACAGGCUGAUACCGCCCAAGAGUUCAUAUCGACGGCGGUGUUUGGCACCUCGAUGUCGGCUCAUCACAUCCUGGGGCUGAAGUAGGUCCCAAGGGUACGGCUGUUCGCCGUUUAAAGUGGUACGCGAGCUGGGUUUAGAACGUCGUGAGACAGUUCGGUCCCUAUCUGCCGUGGGCGCUGGAAGAUUGAGAGGGGUUGCUCCUAGUACGAGAGGACCGGAGUGAACGCACCGCUGGUGUUCGGGUUGUCAUGCCAAUGGCAUUGCCCGGUAGCUAAGUGCGGAAAAGAUAAGCGCUGAAAGCAUCUAAGCGCGAAACUUGCCUCGAGAUGAAUCUUCCCUGACUCCUUGA
rnacentral:rRNA from 1 species